UGGGGGAUAUUGCACAAUGGGCGAAAGCCUGAUGCAGCGACGCCGCGUGGGGGAUGAAGGCCUUCGGGUUGUAAACUUCUUUUGCUCUGAACAAGGCAUGCUAAUGGGUGUGUUGAGUGUAGGGGUUGAUUAGCGCCGGCUAACUACGUGCCAGCAGCCGCGGUAAUACGUAGGGCGCGAGCGUUGUCCGGAAUUAUUGGGCGUAAAGGGCUUGUAGGUGGCUGGUUGCGUCUGUCGUGAAAGCUCAUGGCUUAACUGUGGGUUUGCGGUGGGUAAUGGCUGGCUUGAGUGCAGUAGGGGAGGCUGGAAUUCCUGGUGUAGCGGUGGAAUGCGCAGAUAUCAGGAGGAAUACCGGUGGCGAAGGCGGGGCUCUGGGCUGUUACUGACACUGAGGAGCGAAAGCAUGGGGAGCGAACAGG
rnacentral:rRNA from 1 species